rnacentral:rRNA from 1 species
GAGUUUGAUCAUGGCUCAGAUUGAACGCUGGCGGCAGGCCUAACACAUGCAAGUCGAACGGUAACAGGAAGCAGCUUGCUGCUUCGCUGACGAGUGGCGGACGGGUGAGUAAUGUCUGGGAAGCUGCCUGAUGGAGGGGGAUAACUACUGGAAACGGUAGCUAAUACCGCAUAAUGUCGCAAGACCAAAGAGGGGGACCUUCGGGCCUCUUGCCAUCGGAUGUGCCCAGAUGGGAUUAGCUUGUUGGUGGGGUAACGGCUCACCAAGGCGACGAUCCCUAGCUGGUCUGAGAGGAUGACCAGCCACACUGGAACUGAGACACGGUCCAGACUCCUACGGGAGGCAGCAGUGGGGAAUAUUGCACAAUGGGCGCAAGCCUGAUGCAGCCAUGCCGCGUGUAUGAAGAAGGCCUUCGGGUUGUAAAGUACUUUUAGCGGGGAGGAAGGGAGUAAAGUUAAUACCUUUGCUCAUUGACGUUACCCGCAGAAGAAGCACCGGCUAACUCCGUGCCAGCAGCCGCGGUAAUACGGAGGGUGCAAGCGUUAAUCGGAAUUACUGGGCGUAAAGCGCACGCAGGCGGUUUGUUAAGUCAGAUGUGAAAUCCCCGGGCUCAACCUGGGAACUGCAUCUGAUACUGGCAAGCUUGAGUCUCGUAGAGGGGGGUAGAAUUCCAGGUGUAGCGGUGAAAUGCGUAGAGAUCUGGAGGAAUACCGGUGGCGAAGGCGGCCCCCUGGACGAAGACUGACGCUCAGGUGCGAAAGCGUGGGGAGCAAACAGGAUUAGAUACCCUGGUAGUCCACGCCGUAAACGAUGUCGACUUGGAGGUUGUGCCCUUGAGGCGUGGCUUCCGGAGCUAACGCGUUAAGUCGACCGCCUGGGGAGUACGGCCGCAAGGUUAAAACUCAAAUGAAUUGACGGGGGCCCGCACAAGCGGUGGAGCAUGUGGUUUAAUUCGAUGCAACGCGAAGAACCUUACCUGGUCUUGACAUCCACGGAAGUUUUCAGAGAUGAGAAUGUGCCUUCGGGAACCGUGAGACAGGUGCUGCAUGGCUGUCGUCAGCUCGUGUUGUGAAAUGUUGGGUUAAGUCCCGCAACGAGCGCAACCCUUAUCCUUUGUUGCCAGCGGUCCGGCCGGGAACUCAAAGGAGACUGCCAGUGAUAAACUGGAGGAAGGUGGGGAUGACGUCAAGUCAUCAUGGCCCUUACGACCAGGGCUACACACGUGCUACAAUGGCGCAUACAAAGAGAAGCGACCUCGCGAGAGCAAGCGGACCUCAUAAAGUGCGUCGUAGUCCGGAUUGGAGUCUGCAACUCGACUCCAUGAAGUCGGAAUCGCUAGUAAUCGUGGAUCAGAAUGCCACGGUGAAUACGUUCCCGGGCCUUGUACACACCGCCCGUCACACCAUGGGAGUGGGUUGCAAAAGAAGUAGGUAGCUUAACCUUCGGGAGGGCGCUUACCACUUUGUGAUUCAUGACUGGGGUGAAGUCGGAACAAGGUA